AGUCCAGUUCCAAAAGAUGCAUUUUCGAACAACUGUUGAAAAUCAGUGAACCAGCAACGACAGAGCAUUAUUACUAACUGCUUUCCUUAUGUGUGCAGAAGCCUUGCAGGAGUCAUGGGCCAUGACUACAGUCCUGAUCACCAGUCAACUAUCUGCUCUAUGGCCUAUGAAUCAUCCAGAUUAGUAGAAGUUCAAGCAAGUAAUGACAGGGCGAGGACAACCCGGCACCUGGGAUCUGGAUGAACACUGGG